rnacentral:rRNA from 1 species
GAAACGACUGCUAAGACUGGAUAGGAAGAUAAAAGGCAUCUUGUAUCUUUUAAAAGACCUAGUUAAUAGGUAUGCUUUAGGAGGGGCUUGCGCCAUAUUAGUUAGUUGGUAGGGUAAUGGCCUACCAAGACGAUGAUGUGUAGCUGGACUGAGAGGUUGAACAGCCACAUUGGGACUGAGACACGGCCCAAACUCCUACGGGAGGCAGCAGUAGGGAAUUUUCGGCAAUGGAGGAAACUCUGACCGAGCAACGCCGCGUGAAUGACGAAGUACUUCGGUAUGUAAAGUUCUUUUAUCGAGGAAGAAAAGCAAAUGGCGAACCAUUUGUUUGCCGGUACUUGAUGAAUAAGCCCCGGCUAAUUAUGUGCCAGCAGCCGCGGUAAGACAUAAGGGGCAAGUGUUAUCCGGAAUUAUUGGGCGUAAAGGGUGCGUAGGCGGUCUAGUAAGUCAGUGGUGUAAUGUCAACGCUUAACGUUGUCCGGCUAUUGAAACUGCUAAACUUGAGUUAGAUAGAGGCGAGUGGAAUUCCAUGUGUAGCGGUAAAGUGCGUAAAUAUAUGGAGGAACACCAGAGGCGUAGGCGGCUCGCUGGGUCUUAACUGACGCUGAGGCACGAAAGCGUGGGGAGCAAACAGGAUUAGAUACCCUGGUAGUCCACGCCGUAAACGAUGAGUACUAAGUGUCGGGUUAAACCGGUACUGAAGUUAACACAUUAAGUACUCCGCCUGAGUAGUACGUACGCAAGUAUGAAACUUAAAGGAAUUGACGGGACUCCGCACAAGCGGUGGAUCAUGUUGUUUAAUUCGAAGAUACCCGAAAAACCUUACCAGGUCUUGACAUGUUUUUGCAAGAUGAUAGUAAUAUCGUGGAGGUUACCAGAAACACAGGUGGUGCAUGGUUGUCGUCAGCUCGUGUCGUGAGAUGUUAGGUUAAGUCCUAAAACGAGCGAAACCCUUAUCGUUAGUUGCCAGCACGUUAUGGUGGGGACUUUAACGAGACUGCCAAUGAUAAAUUGGAGGAAGGUGAGGAUCACGUCAAAUCAGCAUGCCCCUUAUGACCUGGGCUACAAACGUGAUACAAUGGCUGUUACAAAGGGUAGCUGAAACGCAAGCUCUUGGCCAAUCCCCAAAAACAGUCCCAGUCCGGAUUGAAGUCUGCAACUCGACUUCAUGAAGUUGGAAUCGCUAGUAAUCGCGAAUCAGCAUGUCGCGGUGAAUACGUUCACGGGGUUUGUACACACCGCCCGUCA